AAAUUGAAGAGUUUGAUCAUGGCUCAGAUUGAACGCUGGCGGCAGGCCUAACACAUGCAAGUCGAGCGGAAACGAGUUAUCUGAACCUUCGGGGAACGAUAACGGCGUCGAGCGGCGGACGGGUGAGUAAUGCCUAGGAAAUUGCCCUGAUGUGGGGGAUAACCAUUGGAAACGAUGGCUAAUACCGCAUGAUGCCUACGGGCCAAAGAGGGGGACCUUCGGGCCUCUCGCGUCAGGAUAUGCCUAGGUGGGAUUAGCUAGUUGGUGAGGUAAGGGCUCACCAAGGCGACGAUCCCUAGCUGGUCUGAGAGGAUGAUCAGCCACACUGGAACUGAGACACGGUCCAGACUCCUACGGGAGGCAGCAGUGGGGAAUAUUGCACAAUGGGCGCAAGCCUGAUGCAGCCAUGCCGCGUGUGUGAAGAAGGCCUUCGGGUUGUAAAGCACUUUCAGUCGUGAGGAAGGUAGUGUAGUUAAUAGCUGCAUUAUUUGACGUUAGCGACAGAAGAAGCACCGGCUAACUCCGUGCCAGCAGCCGCGGUAAUACGGAGGGUGCGAGCGUUAAUCGGAAUUACUGGGCGUAAAGCGCAUGCAGGUGGUUUGUUAAGUCAGAUGUGAAAGCCCGGGGCUCAACCUCGGAAUUGCAUUUGAAACUGGCAGACUAGAGUACUGUAGAGGGGGGUAGGAAUUUCAGGUGUAGCGGUGAAAUGCGUAGAGAUCUGAAGGAAUACCGGUGGCGAAGGCGGCCCCCUGGACAGAUACUGACACUCAGAUGCGAAAGCGUGGGGAGCAAACAGGAUUAGAUACCCUGGUAGUCCACGCCGUAAACGAUGUCUACUUGGAGGUUGUGGCCUUGAGCCGUGGCUUUCGGAGCUAACGCGUUAAGUAGACCGCCUGGGGAGUACGGUCGCAAGAUUAAAACUCAAAUGAAUUGACGGGGGCCCGCACAAGCGGUGGAGCAUGUGGUUUAAUUCGAUGCAACGCGAAGAACCUUACCUACUCUUGACAUCCAGAGAACUUUCCAGAGAUGGAUUGGUGCCUUCGGGAACUCUGAGACAGGUGCUGCAUGGCUGUCGUCAGCUCGUGUUGUGAAAUGUUGGGUUAAGUCCCGCAACGAGCGCAACCCUUAUCCUUGUUUGCCAGCGAGUAAUGUCGGGAACUCCAGGGAGACUGCCGGUGAUAAACCGGAGGAAGUGGGGACGACGUCAAGUCAUCAUGGCCCUUACGAGUAGGGCUACACACGUGCUACAAUGGCGCAUACAGAGGGCGGCCAACUUGCGAAAGUGAGCGAAUCCCAAAAAGUGCGUCGUAGUCCGGAUUGGAGUCUGCAACUCGACUCCAUGAAGUCGGAAUCGCUAGUAAUCGUGGAUCAGAAUGCCACGGUGAAUACGUUCCCGGGCCUUGUACACACCGCCCGUCACACCAUGGGAGUGGGCUGCAAAAGAAGUAGGUAGUUUAACCUUCGGGGGGACGCUUACCACUUUGUGGUUCAUGACUGGGGUGAAGUCGUAACAAGGUAGCGCUAGGGGAACCUGGCGCUGGAUCACCUCCUUAAACGAUGAU
rnacentral:rRNA from 1 species